UCCACUUAAGACAGUCAGUUAUAUUUCAA
rnacentral:piRNA from 1 species